rnacentral:rRNA from 1 species
AACGAACGCUGGCGGCAGGCCUAACACAUGCAAGUCGAGCGAGCAUUUCGGUGCUAGCGGCGGACGGGUGAGUAACGCGUGGGAACGUGCCCUUUUCUGCGGAAUAGUCCUGGGAAACUGGGGGUAGUACCGCAUACGCCCUUUUGGGGAAAGAUUUAUCGGAGAAGGAUCGGCCCGCGUUGGAUUAGGUAGUUGGUGGGGUAAUGGCCCACCAAGCCGACGAUCCAUAGCUGGUUUGAGAGGAUGAUCAGCCACACUGGGACUGAGACACGGCGCAGACUCCUACGGGAGGCAGCAGUGGGGAAUCUUAGACAAUGGGGGCAACCCUGAUCUAGCCAUGCCGCGUGAGUGAUGAAGGCCUUAGGGUUGUAAAGCUCUUUCAGCUGGGAAGAUAAUGACGGUACCAGCAGAAGAAGCCCCGGCUAACUCCGUG